UACGUAGGGGGCAAGCGUUGUCCGGAUUUACUGGGCGUAAAGAGCGUGUAGGCGGCCACGCAGGUCCGUUGUGAAAACUGGAGGCUCAACCUCCAGCUGUCGACGGAAACCGUAUGGCUAGAGUCCGGAAGAGGAGAGUGGAAUUCCUGGUGUAGCGGUGAAAUGCGCAGAUAUCAGGAAGAACACCAAUGGCGAAAGCAGCUCUCUGGGACGGUACUGACGCUGAGACGCGAAAGCGUGGGGAGCGAACAGG
rnacentral:rRNA from 1 species